rnacentral:lncRNA from 13 species
GUGUGGAAGCUCUUUGAGUUAUACCGGAGCAGGAAUUUGGCUGUCCUGCUCCAACCAAGGGUGGUAGGCAUCCUUACCGGAAGGAUGGAUAUUAGCUCCAGUGGGAAACCCCAAUCUUGGAUAUUAGCCCCAGUGUGGAACCCCAGUCCUGGUUAUUAGCCCCAGUGUGGAACCCACCAGAGGCUUGUCCAUGGCCUGCAGAAUUCAAUAGGAACACCUCUACUUGGCAUUUACUGCCCUCGUCACCUUUUCAGCCCCAUUUUCUGCUAAUUUCUUACCCUCCACCCUAAGGGGCUCACUUGCUCUCCUUUCCCUGCCCUCAUGGUUGUGAUCACAUUGAUUCUUCCUCCAGGAAAUCCUCAUCACUCCCACCUGUAAAAAUGUUACACAGCUCUCAAUGCCACUUGUUCACAAAGCCUUUCAUAGCUUUCCCAACUGCACAUGCUUUUCUUGGCUUCUGAGACCCAGCACUUUAUUUGUAACUGUCUUGUGGUGGGUUGUAUUGAAGUCUUUGGGGAUCUGUCUGACCCUGUUCCCCAGGUUGUACUGACAUCUGCGUCUUCUGGAGCACUAACAUUGUACAUGGCCUGUGGUAGCCGUGCAAUGGCUUGAAAGGGAACUUUGAGAACAGAUCCUGCAGAGCAGGGAAUUGAGCCCCAGAGACAUUUCUUGGUCCCUUCAUCAUUGUAAGCACUUUCCUUAAACUGUUUCAGGAUUUCCAAGUCUCUGCCAAUUUGUCAAGCCCUAGGACUCCAAUAACAGUCCCGCAAUCUUAAGCUAGAAGGAGGGUAUUAUCUCAAGUUGCUUGCAUACACGAAGGCAAGACACAUAGGUAUGUACACACACACACACACACACACACACACACACACACACAGUUUCUUUUAACCUAGGUAAUACAGCUACCAGGAUGGAUCCCUCUGAAACUAAUUAAGUUAAUUUUACCUCAAGCAAGUUGAGAGGAGCCCUAGGAAAGCUGACAUUGUACCAAGGUGCCAGGAGCCUGGGGAGAGGCUGACACGUAUCUCUUUGUUCCCUUCAGGAGUGUGUGUCCUGCCUCAGCUGCUUCCCAGGCAUCUAGCCUGGGCAAUUAAGCAACACUCCCGAUCUCUCUCCCCCUUCUUCUUCCUCUUUCUUCCUCUUCUUCAUUCCUUUUUCCUUUCUUUAAAAAAAAAAAAAAAAAAAGAAGAACUCUCCAGUGGCUCUUCAUCACAUCAGGGUAUAAGCCCAUGUCCUCAGCUAUCAGCCUGCUGGGUCUGGCCUCUCCCUCACUCUCAGAUGCUCUCCCUCCCUCGUCCCUCCCUCUUGCCCUUCGGGUUCCAGGCCAGGCUUUGCGCUUUGCUCAGGCUGUCCCCUCCAUCUAGAACACUCUUCCUCCAGAUAUUGGUGUGGCUCAAGUUUUCACUUCCUUCAAGUCUUCACUCAAAUUUCACCUUCUCAGUGGGGCCAACCCUGAUCAUCCUAUUUAAAAUUGUAGCCUGGGCCGAGCAUGGUGGCUCAGGUCUGUAAUCCUGGCACUUUGGAAGGCUGAGGCAGGCAGAUCACUUGAGGUCAGGGGUUUGAGACCAGCUUGGCCAACAUGGUGAAACCCCAUCUCUACUAAAAGUAUAAACAUUAGCUGGGUGUGGUGGUACAUGCCUGUAAUCCCAGCUACUUGGGAGGCUGAGGCACAAGAUCAUGCUAUUGCUCUCCAGCCUGGGCCUCGAAACAGUGAGACUCUCUCUCAAAAAUAAUAAUAAAAUAAAAUUAAGUAAAAUUGCA